rnacentral:rRNA from 1 species
AACGAACGCUGGCGGCAGGCUUAACACAUGCAAGUCGAGCGGCCGUAGCAAUACGGCAGCGGCAGACGGGAGAGUAACACAUGGGAACGUACCCUUCAGUACGGAACAACCAAGGGAAACUUUGGCUAAUACCGUAUACGUCCGUAAGGAGAAAGAUUUAUCGCUGAAGGAUCGGCCCGCGUCUGAUUAGCUAGUUGGUGAGGUAACGGCUCACCAAGGCGACGAUCGGUAGCUGGUCUGAGAGGAUGAUCAGCCUCACUGGGACUGAGACACGGCCCAGACUCCUACGGGAGGCAGCAGUGGGGAAUAUUGGACAAUGGGCGCAAGCCUGAUCCAGCCAUGCCGCGUGGAUGAUGAAGGCCCUAGGGUUGUAAAGUCCUUUUAACGGGGAAGAUAAUGACGGUACCCGUAGAAUAAGCCCCGGCUAACUUCGUGCCAGCAGCCGCGGUAAUAC